rnacentral:rRNA from 2 species
UACGGAGGGUGCAAGCGUUGUCCGGAUUUAUUGGGUUUAAAGGGUGCGUAGGCGGCCUAUUAAGUCAGUGGUGAAAUCCUACAGCUUAACUGUAGAACAGCCAUUGAUACUGAUGGGCUUGAGUUCAGACGAGGUAGGCGGAAUUUAUGGUGUAGCGGUGAAAUGCAUAGAUACCAUAAAGAACACCGAUUGCGAAGGCAGCUUACUAGACUGAAACUGACGCUGAGGCACGAAAGCGUGGGGAUCAAACAGG